rnacentral:tRNA from 1 species
UCCAUGUUGCUCUGAUGGUAAAGAAUCUGCCUGCAAUGCAGAAGACCUGGGUUCGAUCCCUGGGUAAGGAA